ensembl:lncRNA
UUUCAGCUAUUUUCAAAUAUUCAGUGCAGCUUUCAGCUUUUUGCAUUCCAACGCAUUUUCAGCAGGAAAUGCCUUUUCUAGUUCUCUUUGUUCUUGUUUCUGAUUGAUUAAGUCAAAGGGACAUCAUGUCCCUCCUUUUAUAAAGAAGUGUCGUGAAAAUGAAUCCGCUCCUUCAACUCUGACUCUUUGCUCGAGACCUCCCUGUAGGAAGUAGUUGAUUUUAUUUUCUCCGGUCAGAGAGAUCAGGAAUCAGGAAACAUUUAUUGCCAAAAUAUGUCAAAUAUACAAGGAAUUUGUCUUGGCGGUUGGUGCGAGGCAGUAGACAGUGUAACAAUAGACAAGACAGCGGUGCACAAGUAAAGAAAUAAAAUCAAAUGAAAUGCUAAUGCAAUGGGUUAGUGGAAUAAGGCUAUUGGCUAGAUGAUAUAAUUCUGGCUGUGAGCCGAAGCACAAUAAAGACUCCGUAUAGAGUAAGUGGACAGAGUGAUACAUAAUUCUUCCCUGUCUGUUGACUAUUAGAAGGAGAUUGAGGGAAACUUCCGUUCAUUUAAAGUCACAUUUACAUGUAACAGUUGUAAAUUAUAUGAAGAGGGAAAGGAUAUUGUACGUGAUGAUCAGCAAGAAAACUAUUUAACAAGAACCCACAAGAAUGUAAACAUAUUUUUAUGAUUAGCCACAGCUGCCAUCACAGAGCCUCUCAGCCCAUUAAUACCGAGUAUGUAAAGGACGGCAGGUCCAGUUUUUAGGUAUUUUGAUCCAAUGAGGGACCAACAUGUUUAUUUAAAUACAUUUAUGAUUUGGAGUGCACCGGCAUUGUUCUUACCAAAUGUACCGGAAAUAUCUGAGCCACGUGGCGAAGCUCCACCCUCCACAGUGGAAACGUGUUAUUGCAUCAUUUGGGAGCUUCUACAGCUUGAUACGUAUACUUUGAAUUUCCCGAUUGUCCAAAUAUUUAGCCCUUCGAGGCGUGUCAGUUGGUUAUUAACAGAUUGCUUUUUGUAGUUGCUCAGAGGAUAAAAUGUGGAGGAAGCCCCACUGCUAAAGACCCCCCCUCCCACCCCC